UUCCCGAGCAGGCCGCUGUCGUCCAGGUGGACGUGCCCGAGGUUCCCGAGGCGGGGCUCGAGGUGGUUCUGGAGGCCGAGGCGGUGCCCGAGGCUGUGCCCGAUGCCGAGGCGGUGCCCGAUGCCGAGGCGGUGCCCGAGGCGGUGCCUGAUGCGGUGGCCGAGGCGGUUCCCGAUGCAAUGUCCGAUGCCGAGGCGGUGCCCGUUGCCGAGGCGGUGCCCGUUGUCGAGGCGGUGCCUGAUGCCGAGGCG
ensembl:lncRNA